CAUUGUAGCAAUACAAGGCAUACGGCUCAGUAACGCGUAGUCAACCUAACCUAUGGACGGGAAUAACCUCGGGAAACUGAGAAUAAUGCCCGAUAGAACAUUAUACCUGGAAUGGUUUAUGUUCCAAAUGAUUUAUCGCCGUAGGAUGGGACUGCGGCCUAUCAGUUUGUUGGUGAGGUAAUGGCCCACCAAGACUAUUACAGGUACGGGCUCUGAGAGGAGUAGCCCGGAGAUGGGUACUGAGACACGGACCCAGGCCCUAUGGGGCGCAGCAGGCGAGAAAACUUUGCAAUGUGCGAAAGCACGACAAGGUUAAUCCGAGUGAUUUCUGCUAAAGAAAUCUUUUGUUAGUCCUAGAAACACUAACGAAUAAGGGGUGGGCAAGUUCUGGUGUCAGCCGCCGCGGUAAAACCAGCACCUCAAGUGGUCAGGAUGAUUAUUGGGCCUAAAGCAUCCGUAGCCGGCUCUGUAAGUUUUCGGUUAAAUCUGUACGCUUAACGUACAGGCCGCCGGGAAUACUGCAAAGCUAGGGAGUGGGAGAAGUAGACGGUACUCGGUAGGAAGUGGUAAAAUGCUUUGAUCUAUCGAUGACCACCUGUGGCGAAGGCGGUCUACUAGAACACGUCCGACGGUGAGGGAUGAAAGCUGGGGGAGCAAACCGGAUUAGAUACCCGGGUAGUCCCAGCUGUAAACUAUGCAAACUCAGUGAUGCAUUGGCUUGUGGCCAAUGCAGUGCUGCAGGGAAGCCGUUAAGUUUGCCGCCUGGGAAGUACGUACGCAAGUAUGAAACUUAAAGGAAUUGGCGGGGGAGCACCACAAGGGGUGAAGCCUGCGGUUCAAUUGGAUUCAACGCCGGG
rnacentral:rRNA from 1 species